GACGAACGCUGGCGGCGUGCUUAACACAUGCAAGUCGAACGGAAAGGCCUGCUUUCCCUUGUGGAUUGCGGGUACUCGAGUGGCGAACGGGUGAGUAACACGUGAGUGAUCUGCCCCCAACUUGGGUAUAAGCCUGGGAAACUGGGUCUAAUUCCCGAUAGGACUGCAGGGUGGUGCCUGUGGUGGAAAACGAUUUUCUAGUGGUUGGGGAUGAGCUCGCGGCCUAUCAGCUUGUUGGUGGGGUAAUGGCCUACCAAGGCGGCGACGGGUAGCCGGCCUGAGAGGGUGGACGGCCACAUUGGGACUGAGAGACGGCCCAGACUCCUACGGGAGGCAGCAGUGGGGAAUAUUGCACAAUGGGCGGAAGCCUGAUGCAGCGACGCCGCGUGGGGGAUGACGGCCUUCGGGUUGUAAACUCCUUUCGACCGCGAGGAAGCCACCUGGUUGGAAGGGUGGUGACGGUAGUGGUAGAAGAAGCACCGGCUAACUACGUG
rnacentral:rRNA from 1 species